rnacentral:rRNA from 1 species
UGGCGCACGGGUGCGUAACGCGUGGGAAUCUGCCCCUCGGUUCGGGAUAACAGUUGGAAACGACUGCUAAUACCGGAUGAUGUCUUCGGACCAAAGAUUUAUCGCCGAGGGAUGAGCCCGCGUAGGAUUAGCUAGUUGGUGAGGUAAAAGCUCACCAAGGCGACGAUCCUUAGCUGGUCUGAGAGGAUGAUCAGCCACACUGGGACUGAGACACGGCCCAG